rnacentral:rRNA from 1 species
GAUGAACGCUAGCUACAGGCUUAACACAUGCAAGUCGAGGGGAAACGGCAUCGAAAGCUUGCUUUUGAUGGGCGUCGACCGGCGCACGGGUGAGUAACGCGUAUCCAACCUGCCCAUCACUUGGGAAUAACCUUGCGAAAGUAAGACUAAUGCCCAAUGACAUCCCACGAAGGCAUCCGAAUGGGAUUAAAGAUUUAUCGGUGAUGGAUGGGGAUGCGUCUGAUUAGCUUGUUGGCGGGGUGACGGCCCACCAAGGCAACGAUCAGUAGGGGUUCUGAGAGGAAGGGCCCACACAUUGGAACUGAGACACGGUCCAAACUCCUACGGGAGGCAGCAGUGAGGAAUAUUGGUCAAUGGGCGAGAGCCUGAACCAGCCAAGUAGCGUGCAGGAUGACGGCCCUAUGGGUUGUAAACUGCUUUUAUAAGGGAAUAAAGUGGGUCACGUGUGACUUUUUGCAUGUACCUUAUGAAUAAGGACCGGCUAAUUCCGUG